UCUAGUUUUCUCAAACUGCAGUUUGUAAUCAGGAAUUUUUAUCAUUGUACAAAGAUUUUCGUCAUCUUGGUUUCCCUGGAUUAGAUGUCAACAUUAUAAAUUAUGUCUAAAAAUAAAGCAAAUAUAGACGGUCAAAUGUAAUCGAUGCCCCUUAGCUUUUACUGCAUUUGCACACAGAUAUACACAAAAAUGCGCCCAGUGGUGUGGGUGUGUCCUUUAGUCGCUGGGUUACCAAAGCUACAGUGUUUGAGUCACUCAUUGGGCAAAGAGUCGACGAAAAAGACAAGACAAAGACAAUAACUUACACAAUAAUCAACAUAAACUGGGUAACGAGUAUCAUGCCUUGGACCUGUUAGUUUCCCAAGCAAAUAUACAGCGUUAGUUUCUCAAGAAGGCGGUACAAUUCAGAAGAUUCCAUUUGUCUCGAAGCAAAAAAUGAAUUGGGAUCGGACACAAACACACCGGAUAGGCUUUCCACACAGUAGAUCCUGGUGGUCCAUAUAAACUCAAUGGAGUUACACAGAGGGAUACAAACCCCCAAGAGGGUAUGAUGUCAAGUGAAUUACACCCGUUCUUCUGUAUGUGACUUCCUAUCGUGUCUGGUUGAAUAAAUGAAGAGGAGUUAUCCUUCUGGAGGUGAAAUGUCAACGGAAGAAAAAAUAAAGAGAGAUAGUGGUAGGUGAAAUGUUGUCUACUGUAAUCGAUUGGUUGUGUCAUUAUUACGGUAAACACAGGUGCUACCUAACUUCCGUGAAUCCGAUGCUGGCCCUAUCAAUCACUUGACAUCUUUAAAAGUGCCGUAAAAGGUCAGUUAUUUUAAAUACUUUAGCCGUCACUAUUACUCAAAAAAGUGGACUUCAAACUUUCUCUGUUUUUAAUUGGUACAAAUUUUAGCAAUGAUGGUAGUAAUAUCAUCAUAUAUUAGUAGUAGGGAUGCACCAAAAACCAAAUUCUGAGGGUUAGUCAUUUUUUCUGUGCACAGAUGAGGUAACUAACUCCGCCGCGAAGUCUCCAUAGACUGACAGCUCUUUCACCCGCACUGGCGUGACAUGUCCGCAGCUCAGCUUUUGCUCGCCUUGUAGCUACUAAGUUUUAAACGUCGAUAAAAGUUGAUAUGUUGUUGAUAUGUUGUCAUAUGUAGUCGAGAGUUGAGAAAAGUAGUACACGAAACAUUGCUCACUAUGUAGGCGUGUUUUUGUGCGUUUGAGUUGCAUAUGAUAGGUUACACAUGAAAGAAUAUGUGACAAAGCCCUUUCCUUUCAGUUUUUGACCCAUUCACUGCGUGACUGGAAAGUCCAGUUAAGUGUCGUGUGCAGGAAUCUCUGUCAGAACCGAGUAAGUGAACGGGCAUAACUCAGUCUUGCCCCUGCCUGCACGCUGGCUGCUUAUUGGACCUACGUGAAAGUGAUUGACUGACGCUCUGAUUCUGUUUCCGCUCCCUCUCCUGCCAGCGAUGAGGCUGGCGUCUGUCCGGUCAUGCGAGAUGUCAGACUUUGCAGCUUGCGUCUUAACGCAAGACCCACCUGCCUUAAGAAUGAAUCAGUGCAGAAGGUGAUUAGUUCAGUCUUGUUCCUCUAAAACAAUUCGUUCAGGAUCGACACAACACUAGGGCACUGAGACAAGUCCUUACUCGCACACGUGACGACGUGACGAGGCUAGCCAGGUUAGCUUUCUCAUGAACUGAAAGGAAAGGCGCUAGUCGUUCCAAAGUUUGCCCAUAGUUUGCUCUUAUAGUCAGUUAGCCUCCUGUUGUGUGUGAUUACAAAUGUGUGCUUAAAUACUCCUUUCCUUUUCAUCUUCUUUUUAGAGAGACAAGGUUUCACUAGCAAACUUCCCGCUGUCUUCAGGAGUGUGACUCACCUCACUGGCUGUUGCCAGGCAUUUCCUUAUCUUUUAAAUAAAAUACUUGGUUGAAUAUGUAUAUACACGAGUCAUUGGAGAAUUUGAAAAAGUAGCAUACGACUCACGAGCUGCCAGACCUCCAAUCCAUUUUGACCGGGGGGUAGGGAUGGGCGAUACAUUACGAAGAUUCUAUAUCAGGGGUGGGCAUUUUCAAUUCAAUUUAAAUUGAUAACCUACAACGUAAAUAGACAUUAAGAUAAAGAAAACUCACAAAUGAUGAGGUGUGUUCAAAACUUUAGCCUAGUUUUAUGACAGAGCACGUUAAGUCAGCUGCACGGCUGGCCCUUCCCAAAUCAAUGCCGACCGAACUGGAGUGCAGUGUAUAAAAAUGUGUAGGGGAAAAUGAAACCACGAAAAGUGAACUGCGUGGUACCCCCACGCACAGAGGUGCACGAUCAUUUUUUUCAUGACAUUUCCGCCUGUCAAAACUGCUGCCACUGUUAUACACGAGCACUCCUGGUCGCGGCUUCCAGGAAAUAUACGCCAUACGCCAAACACCAUAUGUUUCUAUGUGUUAUUUUCCUACUGGUGAGUGCGCAACUGAGCAUCGACAGUAACAUCCUAAGUAACGAUGUCAGGCUUUUGUUGUUUUCUGAAGAUUCAUUUCAGUAACAACCCGGCGACUGCUUUUAAAAACCGAGCGUACUCUCCUUCCACUCUAGCGCCCGCUUGAUGCUUUCAAAUGCAUUCACGAAAAAACAGUGAUCACAAAACGGAAUUCCCGACCCCUGGUCUAGAAGGCGUUAUCAUUUCGAAAUUUCCCGCCGGCAAGUAAUGACUUUUCGGUUCAUAGGUAAAUCCCGCGGACGAUGAAGUAACAUAUCAGGCUGUUGUUGUUUUUUUCAAGUUUUGUUUUUUCAAUUGUUCAACCAUUCUGGGGGUGUUCUGACUUCCUCGUAUUUCAGUGACGUGCGGUCAGGGGAGGCAGGUGAGGCAGAGCCUCACCUGUCAUCGUGACAAAAAAAUAAUUAUAGCAUCAAAUUUAUAUUAAUAUUUGUCCAUUGCUCUUAAUGUAUGACUCAUUUCAAACAUUUUUUAUAGUCAAAAUCGCUGAAUUUGCCCAUUUCCUGUUCAAAUAACGAAAUGAAACGAGAGGUGCGGCAGCAGCUAGUAAAGCCUCACCUCUGAUUGCGCAAUCCAUAACAAACUGGGUUGAUACAUGGAAUUGGAGCGUGCUGGUUGCCGUACAUUUGCAUGUCGCCAUUAUAAUGUUUCCAGAUACGUUUAGUUGACCUGAUUUUCCACAGUCUGGCUAAUGUCUUUAACCCUUAAAGUUUAAUGUUUGUUUGCGACAUAUUUAGUUUUGCUGAUGGGAAAUAAAACCGCAGUGAAAAGGCACAGGUUGCGGCAGAUAGUACGCUGCCGCACAGAAAGGGGGCGAACGUGAGCCAACAGGUAAUGGCGCCAGGCGAAUCAAGUGCACUGCGGCGAGCCGUUUUGUAUUGUUUACUACGUGGACAUCGGACUCCCAAAAUGGAAGAGGAUUAUAUAUCCAAACUUAAAAAAUUCUCAAAACUGGACUUUCAGUCAAAACUGGACCUGAUUAACAGAGGAAGACCAACGCCGGAGCUAAAAGGUUUGCUUCAAACUACGGGACAGUCUAAGAUAACUCGCUCUUUUCAAACGGAGUGGUACACCCGAAAAGACUGGCUGUGUGGCUGUCCUUCGAAAAACCGCCUUUACUGCUUCCCAUGCCUUUUGUUCUCAACUUGUGCCAAUGUCUGGACUAACACGGGAUAUUGUGACAUGAAAAAUUUACCACGAAGUCUCAGCAAACAUGAGAGAUCGUACACUCACAUUCAAAGCCAGACUGCUUUAAAAAUUUUUGGAAGCUCAAGGAUCGAUUUGGCUUUGAACGAACAGCGGCGGCUCAACGUUAGCACCCACAAUGCUAAGGUAAAGGAGAACCGCGAGAUUUUGAAAGACCUCAUUAAUGCAACCUGCUUCUUAGCUAAGCAGGAGUUAGCAUUUCGUGGUAACGAUGAGAGGGCAAGCUCUACUAAUCGUGGCAAUUAUGUCGAACUUUUAUACGCUUUUGGUGAGAAAGAUGAGAGGUUAGCUAGACAUUUGGACACAUCCACUGUGUUUUCUGGCUUGUCAAAUAGAAUACAGAACGAUCUCAUUGAAGCAAUCGGUGAUGUGAUACAGUCGGAAUAGGACCGAUUCAGGACAACUUUCCUCCCUGGUGAUCAUCUCCAUUGAGGCGGAGAGACUUUUAAAACUAAAGGAAAAUAAGGAGGACUUUUACAACAAAGUAACUGAGGUUUUUGUGGCGAAGGGCAGGCGCAUGGACUUCAUCUACAAAUAAAGGUAAGACCACAGUUUUCAUUUUAAUCUUAAUAUUUUAAAACUAAAUUUUGGCCUUAAAUAAAAUAUACUUUUUCUUUUCAUGCUUUUUGUUGAGCAAUCUGUAUUAAAUUGAUUUAAGUAUCAGAUUCAAGUUUUAAAAACAACUGAAUAUUUCACAAAAGGUCAAAAUUGAAAUCUGUGGUUUUGUACACCACUCUGUACUCAUUUAUGUUGUAUGAACUAAAGACUUGCGAUGGAAAUUCCAACACAUGGAGAGUGUAGCGCAAAUGCACGUUAUUUUCUACCUUUACGUAUCUGUAAUAUAUACCGUGUGUGUGUGUUUUGUGAAGAAUGCUGAUGAGAUAUGAAAUAACCAGUAGUUAAUUGAAUAAGCUACCCUUUUUGGUUAUAUAUUUGUAAAUCUGACACUUAAGGAGUCAGUGCCUCACCAACCACGAACCUCACCGCACGUCACUGCCGUAUUUGAUGAUCAAAGACUUGAGUCGACUAAGUGGAGUCUUGUGACUCCUUUGUCUUCUUCAAAGUUUUAAGAUAACUGGGCUUACUUCUGUGACACCAGAUGGUAUAUGUUAAAACGAACCAGAAUGUGAAUGCAUUAUUGCAUUGACUAAAGACAAAAGGCUACAUAAUGCAAACAAGUGAACAUAUAAACGUGAGUUCAUAACAUACAGUAAAAUAAUAAUACUAAUACAUUUUGUAUAUGGCGGAAAACACUCAGGUGACUUGAAGUUCCGCUCUGAGACCCCCAAUUUGACCAAAUUUCAAAAUUGUCCUAUAUGCAUGUGUGAUACAUCUAUGGAAAGCUGAAAAUCUCCAUUUUCUGGGGGAAGAAAAUUUUUGAACAAGAGGGCAUUUAAAAAAAAAAAAUAAUAAAUAAAAUGCAAAACCCUAACUGGAGGCGAGAGCACACGAGAGCAGAAUUAAAGACGCCAUGAUUUUAACGAGAUAUUAUCGCGUACUUACCUUGUUUCGAUCGAAAAACUCCAUGUAGCAUGUAUCAUCGAGUGUCAAGACACAGAUGUGAAUGGCUGCAGCCGGAUUUUGGGGGGAUUUUAUGGGUAAACAUGGUAAUAUAACAAGGGUCCCGAUGCAGAAAUCGCAGACAUCAAGGAGUGGUCGAGAUGUUGUUUUUCAUAUAUUUACCCUUUUAAACGUUUUUUUUUUCCCCAAUUUUUCUUUGUUUGGAUCGAUCGUUUAUCAUCUAACAUAUUGGGGAAAAGGCGACAGUAACAAAAAAAUACAAUUAAUCGAUGGUUUUGAGAUAGAUAUCCGUGACUUUACAGACACCAUUUUUUUCAUUGUGAUGUAAUUUGUUUAAAAGAUUAUAAUAUGCGAGUGAAUAAUUAGUUUUUUUUCUUUUUUUAAACGAAAUAUUAGACACCAAUUCAUGAUUCUAAGCUAAAAAUGACAGACAUUUUGUUUAUAAAUAUCAUUCUUUUUAUAGCUGGGUUGAAACAAAAGCGGUUUCGCGACGUCUGUAAACAGGGGUUUCCAGGGUAAAAGGCACAAAUUAAAAAUAGUUCGGGGGCUUAAUGCACCAUGAACCUGCUAUGGCAGCAUAUAGACAUAUUGUUCUAUCAAACACAUUUUGGCUUAAAGUACAGUAGUUUAUUUUAAAGAGGAGUGCAAGAGCAGAAACUGUCUUUUCAGUGUUUUCCGCCAUAUAGAUGUACCAAGGAGGACGUUUAAACUUAAAACGUGUUGAAUUAUGAUGUGAAAUCAUUUUGAGCUAAUCUUUGGAUCUGGUCUAUUUUGUGGCUGUUUUUGAAAAAUACAAUUUUUUUUUUCCAAUCAGUGUACCUGUGGAUACCGUGAAAGUUAGUUAAAUGUUACGUUGCUGCCAUUCUUCUGUAGAUUUUGCACUAGCCAAGCCAAAUGUUUUCAAUUUUUAUGUUAAUGGUUUAUAUUAUCAAAUGUUUUAUAAAACUUGUCUACCAACUUUUUCUUUUGAUGAGCUCUUAUACAUCGUUUACUUAUUUCUUGUGCAUUCAUGUGUGCAAAAAACAAUUUUUUAGCGGCGUGCAAUGACGGGGGCCCCAGGGAUAUCUUGCUUGGAGACCCAAGAAAUGCCACUGGUCACAUCACUCAAAUGGUUUACGAGCUCAAGUUAAUAAAAGUUGUUGUCCGCAGAUAUCUGAGAGACGGUCACUUCGCUCACGCGUUUACAAGAAGGAAGGAUGGCUCUGGACAGUGAGCGGAGCGAUCUGCUGUUGAAAACGCUGCAGGAUUUGGGGAAGGACGACUUCAAGGAAUUCAAGUUUUUUUCGAACCUGCCUCAAAGCGUACAAGAAAACCCCUGCCGGGUGAACAUUGCUAACGCGCUGGUGAAGAAGCAUGGCGAGAACACUCUGGAGGAGACCAUCAAGAUUCUGGAAAAGAUGAGUAACAAGAACUUGGCCGAGAAGUUGCGUCGCAACGUGCUGGAAAUAAAAGGCCCCGACUUCUUUGUUCCCGAGGGCAACACCGAGCGCAGGCAGCAGCAGCCUCUGGCGAACGUCUACACCAGGGGUGGCCAUUACGUCGAUCGCGAUCGACAAGUCGAUCGCAACGCUAGUGUGGGUAGCUCGCAGCAUCAGAAAAAAAAAAAAAAAAAAAAAAUAAUAAUAAUAAUUUUAGAUGUUUUUUAAAAUGUUAUGUUAUGUGAGCAAACAUAAUUUACCGUCCAUUUUUUAUUUAUAUUUUUUUAAACGUACACAGUUAUUUGUGUUUUGUGAGCAACAUAACAUCAUAUGUUGCUCUUAAGGUAGAUCGCGGGAGGUUGUCUCAUUUAAAAGUAGAUCUUGGAGCAAAAAACUUUGAGCACCCCUGGUCUAUACGGAGCUGGACGUCACCUACGGGGCCCACGUCAGGCCCGACGAGCGACACGAGGUGCUUCAGAUGGAGACGUGUGCCGCCGCGGCCAAGAACUCUAUCCUGCCGUGCGACAUCUUCAAAAGCCAUGACGGGCAGCCGCGACCGAUACGCACGCUGCUCACCGUCGGCUUCGCGGGAAUCGGGAAAACCUUCCUGGUUCAAAAGUUUGUGUGCGACUGGGCCAGCGGCAAUACCAACCAGGACGUGCACUUCAUAUUUCCUUUCACAUUCCGUGAGUUGAACACGGACAAAGGGAAAAGUUUUACGCUUGCUGAGCUUAUCCGUCGCUACGUCUGCGGGAGCAGACACAUCAGCGAGGAGACUCUGAACAUUAUAUUAGAUGACCUGCAGAAGUCCGGGAAACAGGACUAUGAAAGCAGCAGGAUCAAGAUCUUGUUUGUCUUGGAUGGACUGGAUGAGUGCAACUUUAAAAUGGACUUGAAGAAUCAGAUGAAAGUAGACAUGGAUGUGAAAAAGCCCUACCCGCUGGAGGUGCUCCUGGCGCACCUCAUCAAGAGGAACCUGCUUCCUUGCUCCCGGGUUUGGAUCACCACGCGGCCCGCGAUAUCCCCUCCGACCUCAUUGACAGCAGGACAGAGGUGAGAGGAUUCAGCGAUUCCAGGAAGCUGGAGUACUUCAGGAAAAAGUUCCCAAAUGAGGAGCGUGUCAUUGAGCACAUCCGAAAAACUCGCACCAUCUUCAUCAUGUGCCACCUGCCCAUCUUCUGCUGGCUCACUGCUACAGUUUUUCAGGAUCAUUUGGACAAAGGGAAGGAGGGAGAGCUUCCCAGAACGCUGACAGACAUGUACUCGGAGUAUGCUUUUAACCAGCUGGACAAGUCCAAGGAGCGACAGACGAC